UACGUAGGGUGCAAGCGUUAAUCGGAAUUACUGGGCGUAAAGCGUGCGCAGGCGGUUGUGCAAGACCGAUGUGAAAUCCCCGGGCUCAACCUGGGAACUGCAUUUGUGACUGCAUCGCUGGAGUACGGCAGAGGGGGAUGGAAUUCCGGCGUGAGCAGUGAAAUGCGUAGAUAUGCGGAGGAACACCGAUGGCGAAGGCAAUCCCCUGGGCCUGCACUGACGCUCAUGCACGAAAGCGUGGGGAGCAACAGG
rnacentral:rRNA from 1 species